UACGUAGGGGGCGAGCGUUGUCCGGAGUUACUGGGCGUAAAGCGCACGCAGGCGGUCUGCUAAGUUUGGAGUGACAGUUGGUGGCUUAACUGCCAAAGUGCUUCGAAAACUGACAGACUUGAGGGCUUCAGAGGGACACGGAAUUCCGGGUGGAGUGGUGAAAUGCGUAGAGAUCGGAGGAACACCAAAGGCGAAGGCAGUGUCCUGGGGAGUACCUGACGCUCGAGGUGCGAAAGCCAGGGGAGCGAACGGG
rnacentral:rRNA from 1 species